rnacentral:rRNA from 1 species
AUUGAACGCUGGCGGCAUGCCUUACACAUGCAAGUCGAACGGCAGCACGGGAGCAAUCCUGGUGGCGAGUGGCGAACGGGUGAGUAAAGUAUCGGAACGUGCCCAGUCGUGGGGGAUAACGUAGCGAAAGUUACGCUAAUACCGCAUACGAUCUAUGGAUGAAAGCGGGGGAUCGCAAGACCUCGCGCGAUUGGAGCGGCCGAUAUCAGAUUAGGUAGUUGGUGGGGUAAAGGCUCACCAAGCCGACGAUCUGUAGCUGGUCUGAGAGGACGACGAGCCACACUGGGACUGAGACACGGCCCAGACUCCUACUGGAGGCAGCAGUGGGGAAUUUUGGACAAUGGGCGAAAGCCUGAUCCAGCCAUGCCGCGUGCAGGAUGAAGGCCUUCGGGUUGUAAACUGCUUUUGUACGGAACGAAAAGGUUUGGCCUAAUAAGCUGAGCUCAUGACGGUACCGUAAGAAUAAGCACCGGCUAACUACGUGCCAGCCGCCGCAGUAA